GGGGCUGACAUAGCUUUCGACGAGUGGACUUUAACAGACUGCUUAGCAUACCGACCACUGACGUAAUCAGUAUUUUUAAUUGCAAAACCAAUUGCAUCUGCAUGGAAUAACCUAAAGAGCUUUUUUGCUCCUAACUAUUCCUUCGCAUUAGUUGCAGCCUAAGCUGCUUGCAACCGCUUGAUCUCUAAUGCCGAAUAAGGAUUUCAAGUGUCAUAUUCAUACGGCUUGACGGACACAUAGCUGUGAAGUGUGUUCAUGACACUAAUUCAUAGAACGUAUGUGACUAUACUUGUCUAAUCCUUGAGGUCACACGUAAACGGAAAAGACUAUGUAUGUAGACGGGCAGUAAGUUACCAUUCGGACCCGGGGGCAGUACCCGGCAGCUCCACCA
rnacentral:tmRNA from 1 species